UAGUCCACGCAGUAAACGAUGAGUGCUAGAUGUUUGGGACUUACGUCCUGAGUGUCGUAGCUAACGUGUUAAGCACUCCGCCUGAGUAGUACGGUCGCAAGAUUAAAAACUCAAAGGAAUUGACGGGGACCCGCACAAGCGGUGGAACAUGUGGUUUAAUUCGAUGAUACGCGAAAAACCUUACCAGGUCUUGACAUACUAAUCAUACGGCUAAGAAAUUAGCUGGUCAGUUCGGCUGGAUUAGUACAGGUGUUGCAUGGUUGUCGUCAGCUCGUGUCGUGAGAUGUUGGGUUAAGUCCCGCAACGAGCGCAACCCCUAUUCCUUAUUUGCCAGCGAUUAAAGUCGGGGACUAUAGGAAAACUGCCGGUGAUAAGCCGGAGGAAGGCGGGGAUGAUGUCAAAUCAGCAUGGCCCUUAUGGGCCUGGGGCUACACACGUGUUACAAUGGU
rnacentral:rRNA from 1 species